CGAAAGCCUGACGGAGCAACGCCGCGUGAGGGAUGGAGGCCUUUGGGCUGUAAACCUCUUUUCUCAAGGAAGAAGAUCUGACGGUACUUGAGGAAUAAGCCACGGCUAAUUCCGUGCCAGCAGCCGCGGUAAUACGGGAGUGGCAAGCGUUAUCCGGAAUUAUUGGGCGUAAAGCGUCCGCAGGCGGCCGUUUAAGUCUGUUGUUAAAUCGUGGAGCUCAACUCCAUCACGGCAAUGGAAACUGUUCGGCUUGAGUAUGGUAGGGGCAGAGGGAAUUUCCGGUGUAGCGGUGAAAUGCGUAGAUAUCGGGAAGAACACCAGUGGCGAAAGCGCUCUGCUGGGCCAUUACUGACGCUCAUGGACGAAAGCCAGGGGAGCGAAAGGGAUUAGAUACCCCUGUAGUCCUGGCCGUAAACGAUGAACACUAGAUGUUGGGGGAAUCGACCCCCUCGGUGUCGUAGCUAACGCGUUAGUGUUCCGCCUGGGGAGUACGCACGCAAGUGUGAAACUCAAAGGAAUUGACGGGGGCCCGCACAAGCGGUGGAGUAUGUGGCUUAAUUCGAUGCAACGCGAAGAACCUUACCAAGGCUUGACAUCCUGCGAAUCUCUAAGAAAUUAGAGAGUGCCUUCGGGAACGCAGUGACAGGUGGUGCAUGGCUGUCGUCAGCUCGUGUCGUGAGAUGUUGGGUUAAGUCCCGCAACGAGCGCAACCCACGUUUUUAGUUGCCAGCAUUCAGUUGGGCACUCUAGAAAGACUGCCGGUGACAAACCGGAGGAAGGUGUGGACGACGUCAAGUCAUCAUGCCCCUUACGCCUUGGGCUACACACGUACUACAAUGCUGCGGACAAAGAGUAGCGAUCUUGCGAAAGUUAGCUAAUCUCAUAAACCGUGGCUCAGUUCAGAUCGUAGGCUGCAACUCGCCUACGUGGAGGAGGAAUCGCUAGUAAUCGCAGGUCAGCAUACUGCGGUGAAUACGUUCCCGGGCCUUGUACACACCGCCCGUCACACCAUGGAAGUUGGCCAUGCCCGAAGUCGUUACUCUAACCUUUUGGAAGAGGGCGCCGAAGGCAGGGCUAAUGACUGGGGUGAAGUCGUAACAAGGUAGCCGUAGCGGAAGCUGCGGCUGGAUCACCUCCUAA
rnacentral:rRNA from 1 species